GACGAACGCUGGCGGCGUGCUUAACGCAUGCAAGUCGAACGAUGAUGCCGGAGCUUGCUCCAGUUGAUUAGUGGCGAACGGGUGAGUAACACGUGAGCAAUCUGCCCUUGACUCUGGGAUAACUGCGGGAAACUGUAGCUAAUACCGGAUACUUUCACCGGAAGGCAUCUUCUGGUGAUGAAAGAAUUUCGGUCAGGGAUGAGCUCGCGGCCUAUCAGCUUGUUGGUGAGGUAACGGCUCACCAAGGCGACGACGGGUAACCGGCCUGAGAGGGUGACCGGUCACACUGGGACUGAGACACGGCCCAGACUCCUACGGGAGGCAGUAGUGGGGAAUAUUGCACAAUGGGCGCAAGCCUGAUGCAGCAACGCCGCGUGAGGGAUGAAGGCCUUCGGGUUGUAAACCUCUUUUAGCAGGGAAGAAGCGAAAGUGACGGUACCUGCAGAAAAUGCACCGGCUAACUACGUGCCAGCCGCCGCAGUAA
rnacentral:rRNA from 1 species